AGUUGAGCCGUGAUCGUCUUUCGGGGAGUGUUGUGUCGAUAUUGAAUAUUGUUUAGUGCACGAUUUCAGCUAAAUAAAAAGAUUGACAAUUAAUCUCCCUGUGCCCUCCGGGUUAGGAGUCCAAAAACACAUUCGAAAUGAACUGACCUGGGUAAAACAAAUAACAAUCCAAAUUGGACCUUCUCGAUCGCAGAGUACGAUAGCUCCUCCGAAAAGUACUGGCUUUUUAAUGAAAGAAUGUUGUGAAGCGUCAUUAGGCAGUUCAUUUCCUUAUAAACUUGUCGUCAAUGUUCAUGGGCAGCUCGCUUCAUGGGGUUCGCCGUUUUCAACUGGCCG